GAUGAACGCUGGCGGCGUGCCUAAUACAUGCAAGUCGAGCGAACAGACGAGGAGCUUGCUCCUCUGACGUUAGCGGCGGACGGGUGAGUAACACGUGGAUAACCUACCUAUAAGACUGGGAUAACUUCGGGAAACCGGAGCUAAUACCGGAUAAUAUAUUGAACCGCAUGGUUCAAUAGUGAAAGACGGUUUUGCUGUCACUUAUAGAUGGAUCCGCGCCGCAUUAGCUAGUUGGUAAGGUAACGGCUUACCAAGGCAACGAUGCGUAGCCGACCUGAGAGGUUGAUCGGCCACACUGGAACUGAAACACGGUCCAGACUCCUACGGGGGGCAGCAGUAGGGAAUCUUGCGCAAUGGGCGAAAGCCUGACGGAGCAACGCCGCAUGGGUGAUGAAGGUAUUCGGAUCGUAAAACUCUGUUAUUAGGGAUGAACAAAUGUGUAAGUAACUAAGCACGUCUUGACGGUACCUAAUCAGAAAGCCACGGCUAACUACGUG
rnacentral:rRNA from 1 species